AUUGAACGCUGGCGGCAGGCCUAACACAUGCAAGUCGAGCGGAUGAAGGGAGCUUGCUCCUGGAUUCAGCGGCGGACGGGUGAGUAAUGCCUAGGAAUCUGCCUGGUAGUGGGGGAUAACGUCCGGAAACGGGCGCUAAUACCGCAUACGUCCUGAGGGAGAAAGUGGGGGAUCUUCGGACCUCACGCUAUCAGAUGAGCCUAGGUCGGAUUAGCUAGUUGGUGGGGUAAAGGCCUACCAAGGCGACGAUCCGUAACUGGUCUGAGAGGAUGAUCAGUCACACUGUAACUGAGACACGGUCCAGACUCCUACGGGAGGCAGCAGUGGGGAAUAUUGGACGAUGGGCGAAAGCCUGAUCCAGCCAUGCCGCGUGUGUGAAGAAGGUCUUCGGAUUGUAAAGCACUUUAGGUUGGGAGGAAGGACAGUAAGUUAAUACCUUGCUGUUUUGACGUUACCAACAGAAUAAGCACCGGCUAACUUCGUG
rnacentral:rRNA from 1 species